rnacentral:siRNA from 1 species
UUUAAAGCCAAAUCAGGUUCAC